rnacentral:rRNA from 1 species
UACGUAGGGUGCAAGCGUUGUCCGGAAUUAUUGGGCGUAAAGAGCUCUUAGGCGGUCUGUCGCGUCGGCUGUGAAAUCCCGGGGCUCAACCCCGGGCCUGCAGUCGAUACGGGCAGACUAGAGUGCGGUAGGGGAGACUGGAAUUCCUGGUGUAGCGGUGAAAUGCGCAGAUAUCAGGAGGAACACCGGUGGCGAAGGCGGGUCUCUGGGCCGUAACUGACGCUGAGGAGCGAAAGCGUGGGGAGCAAACAGG